UAUACAAGCAGCUACUCUCUCCCUCUGGAAAGUCCAGUCAAGAUUUCAGGGCCAUUGCAGGAGAGUGUAGGGCAGUCAGGCGUCUAGAACUGUAGGUCCAUCCAAAGGAGGUGCUUCAUGGUGGUCAGCCCUUGUUU
rnacentral:snRNA from 1 species